rnacentral:rRNA from 28 species
GAAACGACUGCUAAGACUGGAUAGGAGACAAGAAGGCAUCUUCUUGUUUUUAAAAGACCUAGCAAUAGGUAUGCUUAGGGAGGAGCUUGCGUCACAUUAGUUAGUUGGUGGGGUAAAGGCCUACCAAGACUAUGAUGUGUAGCCGGGCUGAGAGGUUGAACGGCCACAUUGGGACUGAGACACGGCCCAAACUCCUACGGGAGGCAGCAGUAGGGAAUUUUCGGCAAUGGAGGAAACUCUGACCGAGCAACGCCGCGUGAACGAUGAAGUAUUUCGGUACGUAAAGUUCUUUUAUUAGGGAAGAAUAAAUGAUGGAAAAAUCAUUCUGACGGUACCUAAUGAAUAAGCCCCGGCUAACUAUGUGCCAGCAGCCGCGGUAAUACAUAGGGGGCAAGCGUUAUCCGGAAUUAUUGGGCGUAAAGGGUGCGUAGGCGGUUAAAUAAGUUUAUGGUCUAAGUGCAAUGCUCAACAUUGUGAUGCUAUAAAAACUGUUUAGCUAGAGUAAGAUAGAGGCAAGUGGAAUUCCAUGUGUAGUGGUAAAAUGCGUAAAUAUAUGGAGGAACACCAGUAGCGAAGGCGGCUUGCUGGGUCUUUACUGACGCUGAGGCACGAAAGCGUGGGGAGCAAACAGGAUUAGAUACCCUGGUAGUCCACGCCGUAAACGAUGAGUACUAAACGUUGGGUAAAACCAGUGUUGAAGUUAACACAUUAAGUACUCCGCCUGAGUAGUACGUACGCAAGUAUGAAACUUAAAGGAAUUGACGGGACUCCGCACAAGCGGUGGAUCAUGUUGUUUAAUUCGAAGGUACCCGAAAAACCUCACCAGGUCUUGACAUGCUUCUGCAAAGCUGUAGAAACACAGUGGAGGUUAUCAGUUGCACAGGUGGUGCAUGGUUGUCGUCAGCUCGUGUCGUGAGAUGUUGGGUUAAGUCCCGCAACGAGCGCAACCCUUAUUGUUAGUUACCAGCACGUAAUGGUGGGGACUUUAGCAAGACUGCCAGUGAUAAAUUGGAGGAAGGUGGGGACGACGUCAAAUCAUCAUGCCCCUUAUGACCUGGGCUACAAACGUGAUACAAUGGCUGUUACAAAGGGUAGCUGAAGCGCAAGUUUUUGGCGAAUCUCAAAAAAACAGUCUCAGUUCGGAUUGAAGUCUGCAACUCGACUUCAUGAAGUUGGAAUCGCUAGUAAUCGCGAAUCAGCAUGUCGCGGUGAAUACGUUCUCGGGGUUUGUACACACCGCCCGUCA